UGAGCUCCGAGCACCACGGUCACUUUGUUUCCAACGGGCGGCCUGGGUGCCCGUUUGGUCGGGCUGUCGCUGCCACUCGAGGCCCCGGUGGCUUCCUGACUCCCACUGUGAGACAUUUCUGCUGGCUCCCGUUCCCGGACUGACUUCACCGUGCUGCGCUGCCCGCUGCUUCAAAGAUGAGAUAGUUAGUGAACUGAAGAGGAUCACACCGCAGUGACACUUGACGCACACAGAGAUCAGCGGUGUUCAGUACAGCUCACAUCACGACUGUCCUUUCAUCUCCUUUGAGCACGGCGUGGGACAGAUGGUCCGCUGGGUGAACGAGAGGAAGCAGUGGGAACACUGCUGCCAAGGAUAAUGAUCAGCAAGAUAAUACAGACCACACCUGUGACGGUUUUCUUGACAGAUCCUGCUGUGAUCACAUAAACAUGGUCAUAGAAAAAACUAACGUUACUGCGACCUGGAAGUGAUUCCAUUGACCAGAAUGUGAGGAAGCAUCAAACUGGGGGAUCUUUGGAAUAAGCUCUAUUCAAACUCCGACUGCUGGGUGGCAGCAGUUUUCACCGCCUCCAUUCUGACAGAACGAGAUCUCGUGAUAACCUGGAUGUGUGUUGGAAGCGUCUGGCCCGAGUUUUUCAUUUAAAUUCAGUCUUAAAAUUUGCAACUAUCUUCUGGCUUUUAUUAUUUAACAGAGGUGUGACCAAGUCACUGCUUUGCAAGUCACAAGUGUAGCGUUAUGAAGCUUAUAAUGGUCUGCCCUUAACAGCUGCCCCUUCACACAGUAACAUCGCCAAGGUCGGACGCUUGGUUCAGUAUGUUUACAUUCCAGGAGAAGAGACAGAAGAACAGAAGAAGAACGCUUUUCAUUGAUUAAUCAAAGUACUUUAUUUGUGAUAAGCUAAUCAAAGCAUUUGUUGAUCAUUAAUAAUCAGGUGAAUGAUCUGUGAAAUAAAGAUGUCAUGAGUUAUGUGUUUAAAUGAAUAAACAGGACUGCACCAAACAGACUGAUAUACAUUACCAUGGAAACACAUGACACAUUAUUCUCAACCAAUCAGAACUUUCGUCUGUCGUAGAGAGAAUCUGGUUUGUUUAUGAAAGUAGUCCAAUCCGGUUUACUAAGACUGGUAAACAACUGGGAGAUAUAAAAGAAGGCAACGCCAUUUUAUACUCAGUUCCAUGUUAACAGUUCCACGUUGACAUCAGCUCUGUUCGAUCCGAGCUCCAAGGAGUUACAUCAUACUCUCAACAUUGUUUUUAACCAGCUCUCAAUCCAUCACCUCAAAGAGGAGUACAGGCUGGCCAGCUGUAUUUCCUAUUUUAAGCUGAGAACUGUCAAGCUGGAGAUUUCCGUCGUUUGUACCAACGAGACGACGUUCCUUCAAAAUAAGAGUGAACUUGCUGACGCCUGCCGACUACUACCGGAGUGAUCCUCAGACGGGCUUUGUAGUGCUGCGACCGCUGUUUCACCAGCUCCAGUACAACCGAGGUCUUAGGACCUGGCAAUUCCUGAUCUACACGGGAGACUCCAUCUACGGUACGUGGUCACGGCAAUAUGGCGGCUCAUGUCAUCAGCUUCUGAAGCCUAGUGGUAGCCUAGUCAUAACAAACCAGAUUCGCUACUCAGCCUAGAGAUUCUGAACAAAACACACACACACACACCAACACGAAACAUCCAAAUCCAUAUGCAUUCAUCAUUGAGAUAGU